UGUAUUCAUCCAUAAAAUUUAUUUAUCUUACUUCUAUUUCAGCAAAGUCACUAAUAACAUUAUGAUAAAAAAUUUCACGUAAUCUGUGUUCUGUCCUCGGUGAUACCAAAUUUAUUAAUUUUUCUUAAACCAUUGAGAAAUAAUCAUUUUAUUAAUUUCAAUUUGGAGAGACUUUUCAAUAGGAAGUGGAAUUGUCAGUAGAAAAAACAAUACUUAGAUUCAGUAACACACCAUGAGUUUUACAUUAAUGGAGUCAUAUAUGAAGAUUACCUUCAUUUCAGAAAAUAUUAGGAAGUAUUGGAUGUUUAUCAUAUAAAUUAUCACUCAUAUUGUGAUUUCAUUAUCUCUUAGAGCAGUAUCUAGAGUGAUACAGUAUUUCCCAUGUCCUUUCAAUUUUUUUCAGGGUUUGACUAUUUAAGGAAAAAAGCCAAAAAUUUUGCAUUAUGCUAUUCAAUUUACUAAAAAUCUCUUUUCAUUUGAGACUACUUCUUGUAGCUUCUUUUCUGUGGUCAUAUAAAUGUUUUUCUUUCCUUGUUUUUGCUUUAAUAUUUUUUAUUUAUGUUUAAUUUUGCUUUUGCAUAUAUCACACAUGACUCCUUUAAAUAUAAAAAAAUCUCUCUAUAUAACUUAAAAGUAUUUUAAGCCAUUUUUGUAAAUGAAAUAACCAAGCUUAGAACUAUUUGAGUGUUUUGUAAUCUUUUAUGACAUUAUACAGCAACUUAGAGUUUAUACCAAAUAACCAUGUGUAGCACAAAUUCAAUUAAUUUCAUUUUCUACCAACAUCUACAGUCUCCUUUUGAAUUUUCUAUCAUUUUUCUUAACUGGUGAAUCUCUUAUCUUAUGUAAGUUAAAUCUAAUUGCUCUAACAGCAUUUAGUUAACAGUCUCUUAUUCAUCUUCGAGUAGAUUUAAGGUCAAAUUUUAUAUGUUUCAUAUUUAGGCAGAUCUAGAGAAGAGGGCACAUGAUCUUUGAAGUGUUACAAAAAAUAUCAUCAUUAUCAGUUGAUGUCAUGUCUCCUGGUAACAAAUUUAAAAUAUGCACAUAAUGUGACGUAAAGAAUGUAUCUACUUCCACUGCCAUGUUCAUUUUUCUCUAAUCAACCACUUUAGUGCCAUUACUACAGGCUUGCUCUUGACAUUCUUAAAUCAGUGCCUAACUUUGAAAGAUGUUUUCUGCCUUUCUUCAAUUAUAAAAUUAUCUCAAAUGUAAAAACUGGAAUUUUCAUUUAUUUUGAUUUCUUUAUUUUCUUUCCAAAAUUAUAUGCAAUAAAUGCUCUAUUUCAACAUCAUUUUGGUCACUUGCACAAUCUAGUGCAUAAUAUUUCCCAUUUCAUGCAUAAUUUCUUCUCCUAUUUUAUAAUACCUUUGCAAUAGUCAGGUUUUACUGCAAUAACAAAUAGCCCCCACUUCUCAAUGCCUUCCAAGAAUAAACACUUAUUUUUGCUCACUGAGAUCUUAGGUAGAACUGUGAAAAGAGUGGGCCUCUCUAAACUGUUCUGGACUCCUCUGAGCUCCAAUUGAGUCCACAUAUCUUCACAUUUCAGGACCCAGGAUGAAGGAGCACCCAUGAUCUAGGGCCUGUGGUUCUCAUAGAAGAAGUAGAAAAUCAUUGAUUGAUAGAGACAAGCCAAACCAUAUAGGCAUAUUUAAAACUUCUGCUUGGACAAGCAUAUAUCAUGUCCAGUCACGUUCCCCUGCCCAGAAAAACACCGGGCCAACCCAGAAGUCAAUAGGGUAGAAAAGUAUAUUCCAACUAGAGGAAAGCAAAUCAAGGGCAGGGAAAGCAUGAAUAAUUAUAAACAAACAGUACAAGACCAUGCUCUUGAUCACAAAUAUUUGCUUUCUUCCUGAGAACCAAAGUCCCAUCCAAUCAAUUCUUUGGGCUUCAAGCCUAGGAUCCCUUAGUGUCCAUUAAAUCAGGUUGCAUCUUCUUUUUAUCUGGAGACCUGUGAAUUUAAAAGACAAAUCAGUGCUCCCUUUCCUACCUCCAUAUGCACAUUCAGCAUGCAGCAGUAAGUCAAGAACAGGAAACCUCAAUGAAUACUUCUGUUCAGAAGGAGAGGAAUGGAAAGCACCAGUUCACAGCUAUUCUGAAAUCUCACUGAGAAAAUACUGCAGGUAGAAAAUGUUCCAGGGCCCACUCCCAUUC
rnacentral:lncRNA from 1 species